GACGAACGCUGGCGGCGUGCUUAACACAUGCAAGUCGAACGGUAAGGCCCUUCGGGGUACACGAGUGGCGAACGGGUGAGUAACACGUGGGUGAUCUGCCCUGCACUUCGGGAUAAGCCUGGGAAACUGGGUCUAAUACCGGAUAGGACUCCGGACUGCAUGGUCUGGGGUGGAAAGCUUUUGCGGUGUGUGAUGGGCCCGCGGCCUAUCAGCUUGUUGGUGGGGUGAUGGCCUACCAAGGCGACGACGGGUAGCCGGCCUGAGAGGGUGACCGGCCACACUGGGACUGAGAUACGGCCCAGACUCCUACGGGAGGCAGAAGUGGGGUAUAUUGCACAAUGGGCGCAAGCCUGAUGCAGCGACGCCGCGUGAGGGAUGACGGCCUUCGGGUUGUAAACCUCUUUCAGCAUCGACGAAGCGAAAGUGACGGUAGGUGCAGAAGAAGGACCGGCCAACUACGUGCCAGCAGCCGCCGUAA
rnacentral:rRNA from 1 species